GGGAAGGUGCCGGAGCAUGGUUUAACGGGAGCGCCUGCUAAGUGCUUGUACGCAUGUAAAUGUGUACCGAGGGUUCAAAUCCCUCCCUUCCCGCCA
rnacentral:tRNA from 1 species